rnacentral:rRNA from 1 species
CCUACGGGUGACAGCAGUGAGGAAUAUUGGUCAAUGGGCGAGAGCCUGAACCAGCCAAGUAGCGUGAAGGAUGACUGCUCUAUGGGUUGUAAACUUCUUUUAUAUGGGAAUAAAGUGAGGCACGUGUGCCUUUUUGUAUGUACUUUAUGAAUAAGCAUCGGCUAACUCCGUGCCAGCAGCCGCGGUAAUACGGAGGAUCCGAGCGUUAUCCGGAUUUAUUGGGUUUAAAGGGAGCGUAGAUGGUUUGUUAAGUCAGGGGUGAAAGUUUGCGUCUCAACCGUAAAAUUGCCAUUGAUACUGGUAGCCUUGAGUACAGUUGAGGUAGGCGGAAUGCGUGGUGUAGCGGUGAAAUGCUUAGAUAUCACGCAGAACUCCGAUUGCGAAGGCAGCUUACUAAACUACCACUGACACUGAUGCUCGAAAGUGUGGGUAUCAAACAGGAUUAGAUACCCGAGUAGUC